rnacentral:rRNA from 1 species
UAAUACCGCAUAACGUCGCAAGACCAAAGAGGGGGACCUUAGGGCCUCUUGCCAUCGGAUGUGCCCAGAUGGGAUUAGCUAGUAGGUGGGGUAAAGGCUCACCUAGGCGACGAUCCCUAGCUGGUCUGAGAGGAUGACCAGCCACACUGGAACUGAGACACGGUCCAGACUCCUACGGGAGGCAGCAGUGGGGAAUAUUGCACAAUGGGCGCAAGCCUGAUGCAGCCAUGCCGCGUGUAUGAAGAAGGCCUUCGGGUUGUAAAGUACUUUCAGCGGGGAGGAAGGGAGUAAAGUUAAUACCU